GGACGAACGCUGGCGGCGUGCUUAACACAUGCAAGUCGAGCGGAAAGGCCCUUCGGGGUACUCGAGCGGCGAACGGGUGAGUAACACGUGAGUAACCUGCCCCAGACUUUGGGAUAACCCUCGGAAACGGGGGCUAAUACCGGAUAUGACGACUCACCGCAUGGUGUGGUUGUGGAAAGUUUUUCGGUUUGGGAUGGGCUCGUGGACUAUCAGCUUGUUGGUGGGGUGAUGGCCUACCAAGGCGACGACGGUUAGCCGGCCUGAGAGGGCGACCGGCCACGACUGGGACU
rnacentral:rRNA from 1 species